CCCCCCCCCCCCCCCCCCCCCCCCCCCCCCCCCCCCCCCCCCCCCCCCCCCCCCCCCCCCCCCCCCCCCCCCCCCCCCCCCCCCCCCCCCCCCCCCCCCCCCCCCCCCCCAAAAAAAAAAAAAAAAAAAAAUCUGUUCUGUUAAAUGCCAUAUAGGAAAGACCAAAAGAUCAGAUCAAACAAAGGGCAGCCCAUGGUGCAGUUGCAGGAACUUCUGUACUCUGUACAGAAGUGCAAAUCACAUCUGGAAUGUCCUCUAACAAUCUCAAGACUUUUUCAAAAGGAGACACAGAGAGGGAGACAUCCCAGAGAAUGAUUUCAGAUUGUGAAGGCAUUCAACAUGCAUGUUUUUAAGGCUCUUAAGAGAACAGUUUGCCUGCACACCUGGAGAUCUCACAUCUGUGUUUGCAGUCUGGGAGCCAACAGCUGCCUGAUUGUAUUCACUCAGAAUGGAGAGUUCCUGCUUCAUGGGAAACCACGGUGACCCUGACUGUGGCAUCGUCACAACUUCUCCAGUCGAAUGAGAGCAGUUGGGUGGGCAGCUGGCCACAGAGACAGCCCACCACAAUCACAACAGAAAUUGUUACACUUGAGGAAUCACUCUGGGUAAGUACAGCUACUCAGCUUGCUUAUUUUUACCACUCCAAGCUAUAUGUGCUUAGUUGCCAUGUUUUGCUUCUGCAGACAAAUUGCCACCCAAUUGUUUCUACAACUGUGCAGAUGUACAGUGAACUCAGAAGACAUUCAGAGAAGCUGCAGCUCACUCUGUUCCCAUCAAUAAGCUGCUUUCCUGCAGCUUCUGCAAACUGCUAAUUCAAUUUAGAAUUAAAAGCUUUCAGAUACCUUUAAGGUAAAAUUAAAGAUCAGAUAUUGGCAUGCAAAGUUUGAAUUGCUUCCCCAUCUAGGACCCAGGUUUGUUUUUUUUUCCAGAGACCUUUUAAUAUUUUGUCCUAUGCUGACCUAAAGGAGU
rnacentral:lncRNA from 1 species